GAUGAACGCUGGCGGCGUGCCUAAUACAUGCAAGUCGAGCGGACGGACGAGAAGCUUGCUUCUCUGAUGUUAGCGGCGGACGGGUGAGUAACACGUGUAUAACCUACCUAUAAUACUGGUAUAACUUCGGGAAACCGUAGCUAAUCCCGUAUAAUAUUUUGAACCGCAUGGUUCAAAGGUGAAAUACGGUCUUGCUGUCACUUAUAGAUGGAUCCGCGCUGCAUUAGCUAGUUGUUAAGGUAACGGCCUACCAAGGCUACGAUGCAUAACCGACCUGACAGAGGGAUAGGCCACAUGGGAAGGGGGCCAGGGUCCAUACGACUGAGAGAGGCAGCAGAAGGGAAUCGGCCGCAGUGGGCGAAAGCAUGACAGAGCGACGCCGAGUGAGAUGUGGAGGCGCUCCGAGCGUAAAACUCUGUUAUGAGUGAAGAACAGAUGUGGAAGGAGAUGAGCAGAGAGUGACGGUAACUAAUCAGAAAGCCACGGCUAACUACGUG
rnacentral:rRNA from 1 species